GUUGAAGGUUGGGUAACACUAACUGGAGGACCGAACCGACUAAUGUUGAAAAAUUAGCGGAUGACCUGUGGCUGGGGGUGAAAGGCCAAUCAAACCGGGAGAUAGCUGGUUCUCCCCGAAAGCUAUUUAGGUAGCGCCUCGUGAAUUCAUCUCCGGGGGUAGAGCACUGUUUCGGCUAGGGGGCCAUCCCGGCUUACCAACCCGAUGCAAACUGCGAAUACCGGAGAAUGUUAUCACGGGAGACACACGGCGGGUGCUAACGUCCGUCGUGAAGAGGGAAACAACCCAGACCGCCAGCUAAGGUCCCAAAGUCAUGGUUAAGUGGGAAACGAUGUGGGAAGGCCCAGACAGCCAGGAUGUUGGCUUAGAAGCAGCCAUCAUUUAAAGAAAGCGUAAUAGCUCACUGGUCGAGUCGGCCUGCGCGGAAGAUGUAACGGGGCUAAACCAUGCACCGAAGCUGCGGCAGCGAACGUAUCACCCAAGACAACUUUACGGAGUUGACGAUUGACGGAGCGAAGCGACGUCAAAGCGUUCAUUAAAGUCGAGUUGGCUUAGGGAUACGUUCGUUGGGUAGGGGAGCGUUCUGUAAGCCUGUGAAGGUGUGUCGUGAGGCAUGCUGGAGGUAUCAGAAGUGCGAAUGCUGACAUAAGUAACGA
rnacentral:rRNA from 1 species